GCCGGACUGGCCUAAUGGUUAAGGCAUCGGUCUUCUAAACCGAGGAUUGUGGGUUCGAGUCCCACGUUCGGUA